CAUAUCAUAGGCAAUUCUGUGUGGGUGAUACCUCUACAACUUGAUGAGACCUUUGGGACUCUGAUGCUGCUGUGCACUUCAGUAAUGGCUAGAAAAUGAGGCAGUUAAUUUGAACCAGGGGUGAGAGUUUGCGUUGUCAUAUCCUUCCCCUGUGGUCACUCAUCUAAUUCACUCUGAGUGAAAGUCCCACCGUAGAUGAUUCCUGUUUCCCCCUCUCUGCACUCUCUUUUGAGCAUGUCUUAAUAUCUAUUUUUCGCCUCACUAAUGACCAUCUUUUACUUCCUCAUUUUUCUUUUACUCUUAUCUAUUCUCUGUACUUUCAUCAUCUUUUUUCUGUUCCCCUGUGAUCUUUUUGCUGCAAUUUCCCUCGUUUCUCUUUCAUAUUUUCGUUUUCCCUUCACCUUUUCUUCUAUGUCUCUGUUCUGCAGGCCAGUCUGGAUCAAAACAACUGGGAACAGGUCGGUCUUUAGUGAAUGCCAUCGGGAGUGACUCAGCUCUCAUCAGAGGUGUGAUAGCCGUGGUGAUCUUUGUGACCGUGUCUGCAUUAGCCAUAAUGGCCCGAUUCCUCUACAGGAGGAAAUGCACAUGUCAGCACCAGGAAGUAAAAACAGUGAAACCUAAAGACAAUCCAGAGUUGCCAUUAAGAAUAAGUUUUAUAAGUAUUGCUUUUUUUUCCAACUGUGGUCCCCAAUUGGGCUUUUGUAUACACAGUACACAGAGCAGAUUUACAGUGUUUAAUUACCUAAAGCCAGAAUACACCAUAUAUACAAGACCAUCAUGAUACCAAUCAUCUGUGAUUGGGGUUUUAGGUUUUGUCAAGUCAAGUAGUAAUCUCCUCAGACACGCUUGGGAAGUACUUAAACUGUAAAAACCGGUACAGUGUAUAUACAGUCUGGAUUAUUUACAGCCAUCUGUAAUCUGUAAAUCUCAUGGGAGUUUAGCAAUAUAAACUCACUUCUGUAAAAAAAAACCCCACACAUCAUCAUAAAUAGCAUCAUCGUUGACUUUGUGUUUGUGUUCCUGCACUGCAAGAAUCUGCUGUUGACAGACUCGAGAUCCUGCUGUGACCCGUGUCAGCUGAUCAGCGCUGUUAUAGAAACCUCGCUGACAGCAUGCAGAUCUCCUGUGCUUGCACACCAACAGUGAAGUCAUCGGGGUCAGCAGCACGCAGGCCACAGGCAGGACUGCUCAGGCGAGACAAAUUUUGUGUGUGAUGAUUUUGUGGCUGAAGAAGUCAACGGGGACACAAUGAGACGGGGACCACGAGAAUCAUAGGAACAGCUGCUGCUUCUUUUUCUUUUUUAAGCCUCCACCGCACUAGUGACCACAGCAGGGUUAUCAGUCCUUCCUCGCUUUUUUUAACUUCUGUGGCUUUUUAUGAAUUGUGUGAUUGCAGCACCCGUGGGACAAAUCGCACACCGGCUCCCACUGAUGUCCAUUCUUCACAUUAGUGCUGACAGCCAUAACGCCACCAUGUGGCCACUUAGCGCAUGCAAAAUUAUGUAGUGGUUACAACCUGCAGAUCACAACCGCAUCAUAACUAC
rnacentral:lncRNA from 1 species